UGUCAUAGUAUAGUAAGGUGUCAAAAAUGGUCAAAAAAUGUGAAAAAAUGUCAUAGUAUAGUAAGGUGUCAAAAAUGGUCAAAAAAUGUGAAAAAAUGUCAUAGUAUAGUAAGGUGUCAAAAAUGGUCAAAAAAUGUCAUAGUAUAGUAAGGUGUCAAAAAUGGUCAAAAAAUGUGAAAAAAUGUCAUAGUAUAGUAAGGUGUCAAAAAUGGUCAAAAAAUGUCAUAGUAUAGUAAGGUGUCAAAAAUGGUCAAAAAAUGUCAUAGUAUAGUAAGGUGUCAAAAAUGGUCAAAAAAUGUCAUAGUAUAGUAAGGUGUCAAAAAUGGUCAAAAAAUGUGAAAAAAUGUCAUAGUAUAGUAAGGUGUCAAAAAUGGUCAAAAAAUGUGAAAAAAUGUCAUAGUAUAGUAAGGGGUCAAAAAUGGUCAAAAAAUGUCAUAGUAUAGUAAAAGGUCAAAAACCACCAAAAAAUGUCAUAGUAUAGUAAGGGGUCAAAAAUGGUCAAAAAAUGUCAUAGUAUAGUAAGGGGUCAAAAACCACCAAAAAAUGUCAUAGUAUAGUAAGACCUCAAAAAAUGUG